rnacentral:rRNA from 1 species
GAUGAACGCUGGCGGCGUGCCUAAUACAUGCAAGUCGAGCGAACAGACGAGGAGCUUGCUCCUCUGACGUUAGCGGCGGACGGGUGAGUAACACGUGGAUAACCUACCUAUAAGACUGGGAUAACUUCGGGAAACCGGAGCUAAUACCGGAUAAUAUAUUGAACCGCAUGGUUCAAUAGUGAAAGACGGUUUUGCUGUCACUAAUAGAUGGAUCCGCGCCGCAUUAGCUAGUUGGUAAGGUAACGGCUUACCAAGGCAACGAUGCGUAGCCGACCUGAGAGGGUGAUCGGCCACACUGGAACUGAGACACGGUCCCGACUCCUACGGGAGGCAGCAGUAGGGAAUCUUCCGCAAUGGGCGAAAGCCUGACGGAGCAACGCCGCGUGAGUGAUGAAGGUCUUCGGAUCGUAAAACUCUGUUAUUAGGGAAGAACAAAUGUGUAAGUAACUAUGCACGUCUUGACGGUACCUAAUCAGAAAGCCACGGCUAACUACGUG